rnacentral:tRNA from 1 species
UGAGGGAUCAUCCAAUGGCAGGAUGCAUGGCUCUGAACCAUGACAUCUAGGUUCGAAUCCUAGUCCCUCAGCCA